rnacentral:tRNA from 1 species
CGGGGCGUGGCGCAGUCUGGUAGCGCACAUCGUUCGGGACGAUGGGGUCGGAGGUUCGAAUCCUCUCGCCCCGACCA